UACGGAAGGCAGCAGUGGGGAAUAUUGCACAAUGGGCGCAAGCCUGAUGCAGCCAUGCCGCGUGUAUGAAGAAGGCCUUCGGGUUGUAAAGUACUUUCAGUCGUGAGGAAGGUGUUAAGGUUAAUAACCUUAGCAAUUGACGUUAGCGACAGAAGAAGCACCGGCUAACUCCGUGCCAGCAGCCGCGGUAAUACGGAGGGUGCGAGCGUUAAUCGGAAUUACUGGGCGUAAAGGGCACGCAGGCGGUUAAUAAGUUGGAUGUGAAUCCCCGGGCUUAACCUGGGAAUGGCAUUCAAGACUGGUUAGCUAGAGUCUUGUAGAGGGGGUAGAAUUCCAUGUGUAGCGGUGAAAUGCGUAGAGAUGUGGAGGAAUACCGGUGGCGAAGGCGGCCCCUGGGACAAAGACUGACGCUCAUGUGCGAAAGCGUGGGGAGCAAACAGGAUUAGAUACC
rnacentral:rRNA from 1 species